GAUACAGUCUGUUGCAGCAGACACCCGCGCGCGAGCCAAUCAGAAUCAGUGUUGAUCGAAGGACGCUACUCCGGGCCCCCCACCCUAUGCAAAUCAUACCCUGCCCUGAGGUUCGGCCGGCCGCGCCAGCGGCACUUUUCCGUCAGCGGUCGUUCAAAUAAGCUGCGUUGCCUCGCGUCCGGUCGGAGUGACUCCCUCGUGGUUUCAAGUGAUUUUCCUCUCAUUAAAAGUUUUAAGACUCUUAGAACCCUUUAAACGUGUCUCGGUAUCUCGUCUGUUGUGCGGAAACUCUUUGGUGUAUGUAAAACUGAUCGUAUGAAGUAAUUAGUCUAUCGAAUUGAGUCCUCCUCGAAGUAACUCGUGCCGGCGUUUGAGCAAGUUGAGUGCGGGUAAUGGAUCUCCACAAUUUCCAUCGAUUUUCGUAGUUUCAUAUCGUUUUGCUGUUUUAGGCGUUCAUUUUCGCCGUGUGCGUGUCUCGGUACCUCGUGUGUUUCGCUUAAACUCCUCGGCGAUGUAUGAAAACGAUCGUGUGUGUUCGCGGUGAAGUGUCUCCUGCUGGAUUGUACGAUGGCUGCCGGCAAGAUUCUUUCUGUUUUACGUAUUCGGCGUUUGAGUGAAUUGAAUGUAGGUAAUUGAUACCGGAAAUUUUCACCGAAUUUCGUCAUUUCGAUCGUUUCGGGUGAACGUAUGUUAACUUCAUGAUCUUCGCGCGGCAUUUUCUUCACUGUUCAGUGACUUGUUGAGCGGCAUUUCGGGACUCCGAGUGAUGUGACGUUCGUGCCGGUUUGUUUCUCGUGUGUCGUAGGGUGUGUGUGUGCGUGUGAGUAUUUCCCAGCAUUUUUUCGGUCUCGCGUUUUAAGUGUGUCCGCGUUUAAUUCUCAAUCUAAUACGAAUGAUUUCAUUCAUUAUUGUUACCCACCAUUUGAUGGAGUUGGAUAUCUGGGCAUAGCUUAUCCUUUGAUGCGUGUAUCUUUUGGCGUUGGUCUGGAUUCAGUGCGCAGAACGGUUUCAGACAUGGUGCGUCGCGUCGUGAGUGCUUUCAGCUUGGCGUCGGGCAAAUGGAUAACUUUCUUCUGCUCGCGUGGUGAAGGCUCCUCCUCCUCCGAAAUCGCUAUGUCAUCCAGCACUUUGGUAACGGAUUAAAUAGUGUCAAAGAAAAGAAGGACAAGGAAGUAAAAGGUAAGACACGACCGUAUUUUGUAUGAGGGUGAUGGGAUCGUCGCAUGUUUAUUCUCUC
rnacentral:lncRNA from 1 species